rnacentral:rRNA from 1 species
UACGAAGGGGGCUAGCGUUGCUCGGAAUCACUGGGCGUAAGGGUGCGUAGGCGGGUCUUUAAGUCAGGGGUGAAAUCCUGGAGCUCAACUCCAGAACUGCCUUUGAUACUGAAGAUCUUGAGUUCGGGAGAGGUGAGUGGAACUGCGAGUGUAGAGGUGAAAUUCGUAGAUAUUCGCAAGAACACCAGUGGCGAAGGCGGCUCACUGGCCCGAUACUGACGCUGAGGCACGAAAGCGUGG